rnacentral:sRNA from 1 species
GUGUCCCGCUGCGGGGAGAUGCUCCACAUCCGCUACCGGCUGCUCCGACAGGCGCUGGCCGAGUGCCUGGGGACCCUCAUCCUCGUGAUGUUUGGCUGUGGCUCCGUGGCCCAGGUUGUGCUCAGCCGGGGCACCCACGGUGGUUUCCUCACCAUCAACCUGGCCUUUGGCUUUGCUGUCACUCUGGGCAUCCUCAUCGCUGGCCAGGUCUCUGGGGCCCACCUGAACCCUGCCGUGACCUUUGCCAUGUGCUUCCUGGCUCGUGAGCCCUGGAUCAAGCUGCCCAUCUACACCCUGGCACAGACGCUGGGAGCCUUCUUGGGUGCUGGAAUAGUUUUUGGGCUGUAUUAUGGUAAGCAUUCCCCACCCUGUCCUCCUCCACUACCCCCGUCCCUCUGUUCAGGACCUGCUGGCACCAGGCCUUUUGAUGACAGACGGCUAGGGCCUGCCCAGGCCCCGGGCUCAUGACUCACUCAUUCACGCACAGGGCCAAGAUGCAAUCUGGCACUUUGGCGACAACCAGCUUUAUGUUUCGGGCCCCAAUGGCACAGCCGGCAUCUUUGCUACCUACCCCUCUGGACACUUGGAUAUGAUCAAUGGCUUCUUUGACCAGUUCAUAGGCACAGCCUCCCUUAUCGUGUGUGUGCUGGCCAUUGUUGACCCCUACAACAACCCCGUCCCCCGAGGCCUGGAGGCCUUCACCGUGGGCCUGGUGGUCCUGGUCAUUGGCACCUCCAUGGGCUUCAACUCC